UACAGAGGGGGCAAGCGUUGUUCGGAAUUACUGGGCGUAAAGGGCGCGUAGGUGGCCUUCUAAGUUGAACGUGAAAUCCCUGGGCUCAACCCAGGAACUGCGUCCAAGACUGGGAGGCUUGAAUCCGGGAGAGGGAUGCGGAAUUCCAGGUGUAGCGGUGAAAUGCGUAGAUAUCUGGAGGAAUACCUGUGGCGAAGGCGGCCAGCUGGGCUAGGUCCGACGCUGAGGCGCGAAAGCGUGGGGAGCAAACAGG
rnacentral:rRNA from 1 species